rnacentral:rRNA from 1 species
CCUACGGGAGGCAGCAGUAGGGAAUAUUGCUCAAUGGGGGAAACCCUGAAGCAGCAACGCCGCGUGGAGGAUGAAGGUUUUCGGAUUGUUAACUCCUUUUGUUAGAGAAGAUAAUGACGGUAUCUAACGAAUAAGCACCGGCUAACUCCGUGCCAGCAGCCGCGGUAAUACGGAGGGUGCAAGCGUUACUCGGAAUCACUGGGCGUAAAGAGCGCGUAGGCGGGAUAGCAAGUCAGAUGUGAAAUCCUAUGGCUUAACCAUAGAACUGCAUUUGAAACUGGUGUUCUAGAGUAUGGGAGAGGUAGGUGGAAUUCUUGGUGUAGGGGUAAAAUCCGUAGAGAUCAAGAGGAAUACUCAUUGCGAAGGCGACCUGCUAGAACAUAACUGACGCUGAUGCGCGAAAGCGUGGGGAGCAAACAGGAUUAGAUACCCUUGUAGUC